ensembl:lncRNA
GCCGUGACUUAACAGUUUAAUGUAAAUCCAAGACAAAGUGUGAAUACAUUUCUGCACAUAUACAAUAUGCAUAUGUGAGCAUACAAAUUCUCAUUAAUAACUCGAUUCACCUCGGAGACCGAAAAAAUGAUCAAAAGUAACAGUGAAUAACAAGCUAUAACAUAGUUCACCACAACGCGAGCCCCUUCUCACCCUACAGUUAGUAAAGAGGACAAUUCAAAUAACUAUAUUCUUCUAUUUGACGAAGCUAUUUGCUUGUUAAAAUCCUCCUGUAAAAUUUACAAUGCUAUAAUUAGUUUAUUCAAAGCCUAAUAUAAAUUCACUCCAUUUUUCUACAACGAAAAUGAUUAAGAGAAGCACACAACAUCAUAAUGGUAACACAAGCGCUUAGUAGCUCAACUUCUUAGGAGGUUUAAUUAAUCCUUCUUCUUACUGUCAUUAUAUUUAUUUAAACAUUCUAUAAAGCCAAUAAAAUAUCCAUUCUCGUAACAUACUUAAUAAUAUUAGGGUAAGGAACAGGGUAUACAUUGAACGCUACAGAUCAGAAGAUUGAAAAAAUGAGACAUCACACCCCAAAAAACAAAAGUAAAUAAGAAGAGACAAUUAACAGAUAAGUAUAGUAGGAAAUACUGCAGCACACAUUAGCUGUAUCGACAAAGAAUGAGAUUUUACACCGAUGAGAAACCAUACAGCAAGAAACAGAAAAGGGGGUCAGGGUUUGAUGCACUCUUAGGUCUUUAGAAAAUGCAAAAUAAACAGAUAACUCACUUGCAUGAGUAUUGAUGUGAUUAAAUGGAGCAAUGCAAGUUUGAGAAUGUACCAAAAAAAUCACUUUGACUUUAACGUGACGUCUAGCUUUAGAUGAAUAUUUUUGUAAUGUAAAAAAAGGCCAAUUUGGCUUUGAAUGUAGCUUUGGUCUACCACUUCUAGAUUCCGUUCGUUGACACCACAAAAACACAACUAGCUUUGGCUAGAAAUCUUCCAGAAAGUAAAAUGGGGAAAAAAAGCUACAUUUUUCAUUUAUGUAAAGUUGGACCAAAGAUCUGACAACAAAGUGGUACAUAUGGAUCCACAUCCAUGCCUGCUUUUACAUAAAUUAGAAUAAAUUAAGAUAACAGGAAAACAAUCGUAUUUCAAUCAGUUUUGGUUCUUAAUUUCAUUCAUUCACCCGACACCCUCUAUCAGCGAUGGCAUCAAACCGUGACCACCUCACCCUGAAUACCCCAAAGGAACAGCCAGCAAAAGGAGCAGAUCUCCCCAAUGAAAAGGUAAAAAAAAAAGAACACAGACUCUCAUCUGAAAGGGCUUUAAGAACGCUCGCGUGGCUGGAUUAUGAGUCACCUGGUGACAGAGAGGUCAGCCCAUGAUUAACCCACCUGACGCCUCUUCCUGCACUUAAAGCGCCUACGAGUUUGCCAAAUGGUUUACGUUUGCGCUGAAGCUUGUGUGGAUGUUGCGGGUGGUCUGCUCUCUCUCUCUCUCUCUCUCUCUCUCUCUCUCUCUUUCUCUCUCUCUCUCUCCAGGAGUUUAUCCGACUAAGACUAAUGCAGCGCCGUCGACGCGCUCGUCUCAGGAAUGUUUCCCGGUGUCCCCAAAGCUCCGAAGGGGCGAAUCACCAUGAGCAAAGUUGGAAGUUUGAGUAUAGAUUUAAAGGAAAGUGCCAGGCUUCACGGGGAGAGUGAGGUCGGCGGACUGGUCGGCCAUUUGGAAGACGGUGGCUAUAGCUGGGAAGGCCGCGCUCACCUCGACAACACAAAGCGUUUUUACACUCUACUUAAGCACAUUUUGGUAAUUGUAAGGUCACUCGAUCUACGUCACAUUUCUGAUUCCCCCUUUUUUUUUAUAGGAGACAAAACGUUGGUUAUGUGAAACAUAAUAAUAGACAAAGGUAACAUUAACACAUUAAGUCAUUUCCAACAGCUUUGAGUAUACGGGGCCUCUAUUAAUUUAGUUUGAGAAAAUAGCAAUUAUUUGACACCCCCUAAUCGUGAGGAUGGUCAUAGUGUUAAUGACUUACUCUUACAUAGGAUUUUGCUGGAGAUCAGAUCUAUAAUUAUUGCGUCAUGCAUGGCCACUUACGGUGUAAAAAUGAAAUGAAUGGUCACCCACGGAGAAAGAUCUAAAGCCAUUUCAGAUGUCGCAGGUCACGCAUUACAUUCAUUUCGUGCGGGUGGCCGUGGUUUUAAAGGUAUAGUCGGUGCAUUUUUGAUUAAUUCAUUUUGACAGGUCAUUUCACUUCAUGGCACGCUAAUGUAAAACAACAUUUUUAGUUUACAAAGUCAUUUUCACACAACACCGAUAAAGCAACGACAUCAUCAACAACAACAACAAAAUAAAAUCAAAAAUAAAAUAACAACAACUGGCUUAUCAAUUUAGAGAGAAGUUUGAUAGUUAUUGAUCAUUCAAUCUAAACACCUGUGAGGAGUAACGACAGUGAAAGUCAAAUCCGUUACUCUGCUGUGUUCCAUAAAUACGUCGAAUCGCCUUCGUGAAACAUGCAUUUGCUUCUGGGGGGGUAAAACAACGCGUCCUCAAAGUUACUCGUAAAGCGUUUAAAGAUGAGACCAGGAGUUAUUUGCCCCUCUGCUGCCCUUGCAAAAGCUCCGGUGGUUUGCUCGCACUUUCCUGUGCUGUGCUGUACAUGAUUGGUCUGUUGAAUUCUUUGGUGGGAGAAGCGAGAGAAAAAAAGAAAAGAUCUAAUGUGACGACGCUGUCCGACAGCGACGCCAGAUUCCCUUAAACAGUGGAAUGUUUCAGUAGUCUGUCUCAUUACAGAGGAGCCAACAGAUUUCAAUGGAUAAUCAUCUCCCUUAUAUGUGUGUGUGUGUGUGUGUGUGUGUGCCCCAAUGACCUACAGAAAAUUAAAUAAAAAAAGAAGACAACAAAACAGAGAAGAUUGAUGUAACCAGCAGGUUACUAAGCAAUCACAUCUUCUACCUCGGGUCUGCGUGCUGGAGGCGGGGUGUGUGGGGGGGGUACCGGGAUGACAAACCACUCUGGGGGGUCCCGUGAAGUGACCCCUCAAACCAAAGCAUGUGUCUAUAGGGGCCCGAUCGGGUCGUCAUCAAGACCAGCCGUGUUGCAACACUUUACACGGGUGCGCCCACCUCCACGGAACACUAAACAUCACUGUACAUCAACCUCCAGGCUACAAAGCAGAGCCCGACAUAUCAUAAAAAAAGACACAUCCACAAGAAUUAUUGCAACAAUCUCUAAAAGAUAAACACAAUAGGUACUACAGCCAUUUCAAAAAGUUCAAGGUAAUGUUAAGUUAAAAAAUCACUUCAAAUGCAAAUACUAUGGCAAACCAUAAAAGGGGGAGGGGAAGGCUUUCACUACGACACCAGCAGUACUGCUGAGUGUUCAAGAGCACAAAUGAACGGAGGAGAUUAUUUGUAUCAUUGGCUACAAGAAAAACAACAACAACAAAAAAGAUGUCUGUUGAGUCAAGCAGCAAACGCGCAAAGUGACACCGCUAUUGGUCGGUGUCUAAGUGUUCGGGGUGUCCUGUUCGGCUGGCGCGGCCAUGUCCGUGGCGCUCCUGGCUCAAAGACAAAUGGACAGUGGCGAGGAAUCGUCCUCGAGGCGCCCCCUUCCAGGUGCACGCUGGGGGAUUCCCCCUUCCGCUCACCCAAAACCUCCAGCGUAAAACGAAUGACACUACGUCAAAACCAAAAAGGAUUCAUGUCAGAAUUAUAAGUGUGCGUUCAGGUGAGGUGAAGCCCCCCCCCCCUCCGGCUGCCACCAUCCCACCGGGCUCAGCGUCACUAUCAACCUGCUCAGUGCCAACUUGCUACCAUUUUAGUCCCAUUCAAGAUUAGGUUUCCCUCUGCCCCCUCCAAACGCGGACCCCUGCGCCCCCC